ANAGUUUGAUCAUGGCUCAGGACCAACGCUAGCGGCAGGCUUAACACAUCGCAAGUCGAGGGGUAUAGGUUUUCGGACCUAGAGACCGGCGCACGGGUGCGUAACGCGUAUGCAAUCUACCUUUUACAGAGGGAUAGCCCAGAGAAAUUUGGAUUAAUACCUCGUAGUAUUAUUGAAUAGGCAUCAUUUAAUAAUUAAAGUUCCAACGGUAAAAGAUGAGCAUGCGUCCCAUUAGCUAGAUGGUAAGGUAACGGCUUACCAUGGCGACGAUGGGUAGGGGUCCUGAGAGGGAGAUCCCCCACACUGGUACUGAGACACGGACCAGACUCCUACGGGAGGCAGCAGUGAGGAAUAUUGGUCAAUGGGCGCAAGCCUGAACCAGCCAUGCCGCGUGCAGGAUGACGGUCCUAUGGAUUGUAAACUGCUUUUGUACAGGAAGAAACACUGGUUCGUGAACCAGCUUGACGGUACUGUAAGAAUAAGGAUCGGCUAACUCCGUGCCAGCAGCCGCGGUAAUACGGAGGAUCCAAGCGUUAUCCGGAAUCAUUGGGUUUAAAGGGUCCGUAGGCGGUUUUGUAAGUCAGUGGUGAAAGCCCAUCGCUCAACGGUGGAACGGCCAUUGAUACUGCAAGACUUGAAUUACUAGGAAGUAACUAGAAUAUGUAGUGUAGCGGUGAAAUGCUUAGAUAUUACAUGGAAUACCAAUUGCGAAGGCAGGUUACUACUAGUGGAUUGACGCUGAUGGACGAAAGCGUGGGGAGCGAACAGGAUUAGAUACCCUGGUAGUCCACGCCGUAACGAUGGAUACUAGCUGUUCGAGAGCAAUCUUGAGUGGCUAAGCGAAAGUGAUAAGUAUCCCACCU
rnacentral:rRNA from 1 species